rnacentral:rRNA from 1 species
UACGUAGGGCGCAAGCGUUAUCCGGAAUUAUUGGGCGUAAAGAGCUCGUAGGCGGUUUGUCGCGUCUGCCGUGAAAGUCCGGGGCUCAACUCCGGAUCUGCGGUGGGUACGGGCAGACUAGAGUGAUGUAGGGGAGACUGGAAUUCCUGGUGUAGCGGUGAAAUGCGUAGAUAUCGGGAGGAACACCGGUGGCGAAGGCGGCGAUCUGGGUAGAUACUGACGCUGAGGUGCGAAAGCGUGGGGAGCAAACAGG